UGUGCCUUUAUUUCACUAUGUUUAUCACAACAAGGUAUUCCCUGUUCUUAGAAUCAAUCAGGUCGUGCUUAAACACAGCUCAACACAACAAAACUCCCUUCCAUAUUUUCACUAGUCAUGUUGAAGAUAGCCGCAAUAAUUAAAACGAGAAAAUAAACUCUUUUCCCAAGAAAACAGAAAUAGAGCAGGUUCUUAGCGCCAUCGCCGGAGAUAGUAACUGUCUUAGCUAUGGAAUCCCCGUUGUUUGGUACUUCUAUGGACGUCGGUGAUAUUCAGUGUCGUGAUAUGGAAAUAAAGAAGUCCAUAGUUGGUUGCGCAGCUGAACAUCAGAAGAGAGAUGACCAUAGGUGGCUGCGCAGUUGAAUAUCAAAAGAGAGAGAGAGGCCAUAGGUGGCUGCGCAGCUGAAUAUCAGAAGAUCGUGAAUCCGCGCUACCCAUUUAGUCUUUUUCGUGAACCUGUGCUGCCCUCUUAGACUACCGUACUGCGCCGCCCUCGAGGAUUACCGUCAUGCCUGCGCUGCCAUUUUGUGUGUCAAUAAGCCAUCUACAAGGCAGCCACAUAGGCUUUGAAGUCCAGUAGAGUUGGAGACUACAUCAGGAUGAAUAGCAGACCCGCCGCAAGAAGCGUGUACCCAUUUGUCGCUCCAACGCUGAGCUAUGGACUGAGUAACGAUAAUCUCCAUCCCACCUGUACAGAUUCAGAUGUCCUACUGCUCCGAUAACAAUGAACCUCACAGAAUUGAAUUAAUGCAGCAAUGCCUUAGAUUAAGAGUUGUAUCAGCGUUGGAGUCCCCUAAACACUGAGUCAAUGCAACAA
rnacentral:lncRNA from 1 species